CCUUCUUGGGCAAUUGAGCAAGUCAACAAGCGAUGUCGUGGGGUUUUUUGGGAGGGAUCUGAGGAGAUACAUGGAGGGAAGUGUUUGGUCAACUGGCAGCGGGUAUGCAGGCCUAAGGAGCUGGGUGGACUCGGCCUGCUGGACCUAAAACGACAGGGCUUGGCCCUUAGGUCGAGAUGGGAAUGGUUGCGGCGCACUGACACGAGUCGCCCUUGGCAUGGGCUUCCCAUGACUAAGGACCCGCAAGUCCAAGCUGCCUUUGAUAGUUUAGUCCACUGGAGAAUUGGGGAUGGGACCAAGGCGCUCUUUUGGAAAGAUAUAUGGAUGGGAGGCGUGUCUGUUAAGGAGGUCGCGCCGGAUGUGUGCAGUGCAGUUCGCAUGUAG
rnacentral:rRNA from 1 species